AUUGAACGCUGGCGGCAUGCCUUACACAUGCAAGUCGAACGGCAGCACGGGUGCUUGCACCUGGUGGCGAGUGGCGAACGGGUGAGUAAUACAUCGGAACGUACCUUAUCGUGGGGGAUAACGCAGCGAAAGCUGUGCUAAUACCGCAUACGCCCUGAGGGGGAAAGCGGGGGAUCGCAAGACCUCGCGCGAUUAGAGCGGCCGAUGCCUGAUUAGCUUGUUGGUGGGGUAAAAGCCCACCAAGGCGACGAUCAGUAGCUGGUCGGAGAGGACGAUCAGCCCCACUGGGACUGAGAAACGGCCCAGACUCCUACGGGAGGCAGCAGUGGGGAAUUUUGGACAAUGGGGGCCACCCUGAUCCAGCAAUGCCGCGUGAGUGAAGAAGGCCUUCGGGUUGUAAAGCUCUUUUGUCAGGGAAGAAACACCGGCUCUAACACAGUCUGGGAAUGACGGUACCUGAAGAAUAAGCACCGGCUAACUACGUGCCAGCCGCCGCCGUAA
rnacentral:rRNA from 1 species